AUUAAUAUUAACAAAAUUUUUACUAUAAAACAAAAAAAUAAACACUCUAUGUUAAAAUUUUAUAAUCACAGUCUAAAUUAUAUUAAAAUAAAAUUACUAUGAAAAUUAUACUAAAUUAGUAUAUUAACCUAUAUUAUUUUUAAAACAUUACUUUCAUAUAAAUAGAUGAAUAAAAUAUCAUCCACCGUAAUGCGUAACACAAUGCUCUUUGGAUCAUGUCAACAUGAAAAGAAACCAAGCAACGGAUAUUCUUGCAAAAGAAAUAAUUUGAAAUCUUGUCAUCCGUUCAUAAUUUUAUGGGCAAUUCUCUCAAACAGACAUUUUUAAGUUUUUGUAACAAAUAGACCUCAAAAACUAAAUGACCAAAAUAACAUUUUUUAUUUUGAAAAUUUUAAUUUUUUUUAAAAAAAGUUUGAAAUCUUAUCCCCAAAACCCCACUCCUCAACUCUAAACCUUAAACCCUAAACUCUAAACCCUAAACCCUAAAUACUAAACCCUAAAACCUAAACCCUAAACUCUAAACCCUAAACUCUAAACACUAAACCUUAAACUCCACCCCUUAACUCUGAACCCUAAUGUCUAGAUUAAUUAAUCUUAGGGGUAUAAGUGUAUAUUUACUUCUUUUGAU
rnacentral:lncRNA from 1 species